rnacentral:rRNA from 1 species
AGCGAACGCUGGCGGCAGGCCUAACACAUGCAAGUCGAACGGAUCCUUCGGGAUUAGUGGCGGACGGGUGAGUAACACGUGGGAACGUGCCCUUUGGUUCGGAACAACUCAGGGAAACUUGAGCUAAUACCGGAUGUGCCCUUCGGGGGAAAGAUUUAUCGCCAUUGGAGCGGCCCGCGUCUGAUUAGCUAGUUGGUGAGGUAACGGCCCACCAAGGCGACGAUCAGUAGCUGGUCUGAGAGGAUGAUCCGCCACACUGGGACUGAGACACGGCCCAGACUCCUACGGGAGGCAGCAGUGGGGAAUCUUGCGCAAUGGGCGAAAGCCUGACGCAGCCAUGCCGCGUGAAUGAUGAAGGUCUUAGGAUUGUAAAAUUCUUUCAGCGGGGACGAUAAUGACGGUACCCGCAGAAGAAGCUCCGGCUAACUUCGUG